rnacentral:sRNA from 1 species
AGACACACCAGAAGGGAGGCCCAGGGAGGAAGGAGUUGCAGAGAUGAAAGGGUAGGCAGCCCACGGCCAGCUCCGCACUGCCUGCCUGGGCCCUCCCAGCUGGGCUCCCUUGAGCCCCUCCCCCAGCCUCAGCCUGCCCCUUUCUGGCCCCUUUGGGCCUCGGUGAUGGAAAUACACCAUAAUCCUUGACAAAGCCCCCCUCCUGGGGGAGGAGGCCCCAGCACCAUUGGCGGCCUGAGCCCUGCAAGGGUGUGGCCAGGAGCCACCCCCACCCCCGCACCUGACUUCACACACAUACCUGCCUUCAGCGCCUGCCCCAGAGCUCCCACGCCCCUGCCCGCCACAUCUGCAGUGCCGCACACAGACAGGAGACCAGCAUUACAGCAACAACCGAGGGGCCACUGCCUGAUGAAUUGCCAGAGGGGAACCACCAGCUCUGCUUUUAAUAACCGGAUCUGCAUCCUGCUGCUGCCCAGCUGGGCUGAGGGCCCUGACCACGGCUAAGGGGAGUCAUCACAGGGCUUCAGGGCUGGAAUUCCAGUGCUGCAGGAUGAGUGGCGCUGGUCUCGGGAUCCGCAGAGUCUACAGGGCCCUGGGCUUGGACACCGUCUCAGGGGUUUGUGCCUUCAGAGCCUGGUGGAGCAGCCAAGCAACUGGGCACAUGAAGGCAAAGGUUUCUGCAAGAAUGACGGGCAGCAUGAUGCUCAGCUGCAUGUGGAGGCACUGAGGCUGGAUGAACCCUUGGGACGGGCAGCCCAGCGGGUGGGUGAGGCCAUCUUCCCCAUCUACCCGAGGCCGGACCAACCCCGCAUGAACCCAAAGGCUCAGGAUCACGAGGACCUGUACCGCUACUGUGGCAACCUGGCUCUGCUCCGGGCUAGCACGGACCCCACAGCCCGACACUGUGGGAGCCUGGCCUACAGUGUGGCCUUCCACGUCCACCGGGGCCCUCAGCCUCCAGUCUUAGACAGCCCUCCCGGGGCUGGCCAGCCAGAACUGAUGUCACCAUGCCCAGAGCCCCAGCUCCCCAUACUGCAGAACUGAUGAUGGUCAUGGGGGGCAGUGGAGCAGGGGCAGGAGAGCAGGAUGAGCAGGAAUGCAAUAAUCAAGAUGAUCCAGAAUGAGAAGGAAGCAGAAGACAAGGCUCAGUGUGAGACCAGGGUCAGGGCUCAGCAAACUUCCACGACUGGCUUUGAAUCAGAAUCAUUUUGCUUCUCAGCCACGGCCCAUGGGUUACACAGCCUUAAAUGGCCCUGCCAAUGCUGGUCACAGCAUUCUCUAGUCCUGGAGACUCGGGAACUAAAACAAUCAAUUCCCCUGAGCAAUAAAAUUAUGGACAGUGAACA